rnacentral:rRNA from 1 species
UACGUAGGGUCCGAGCGUUGUCCGGAAUUACUGGGCGUAAAGAGCUCGUAGGUGGUUUGUCGCGUUGUUCGUGAAAACUCACAGCUCAACUGUGGGCGUGCGGGCGAUACGGGCAGACUUGAGUACUGCAGGGGAGACUGGAAUUCCUGGUGUAGCGGUGGAAUGCGCAGAUAUCAGGAGGAACACCGGUGGCGAAGGCGGCUCUCUGGGCCUUACCUGACGCUGAGGAGCGAAAGCUGGGGGAGCGAACAGG